AAUCCCUCCGCCACCCCGACGCAUAACCUUUAUUUAAUUAUAAGUAAAUGUGAACUCGUGAAAUGACUUACAUUUCAGUUUAAAUUUCAUUGUAUGACUUCAGACGACUUGGAAUAUAGUGCAAAAGCUGUAUGGACCACUGAUGGUUCCCUAACUAGAUUAACCAGAAUGAUGUUCUUGUUGUCAAUAACCUUCAACCGUUAAUUCUGGUGGAAUAGCAUAUCUGUGCUGGUGCACAAGCUAGACCAGCAUAAGCUUGGACCAUCAUGGAAACUCAUUUUCAGCAAGACCCGGCAUCUUCAUUUGCUGUGCCACAUCUUGAUGUUUGUUUUUAAGCUACAGUACAACUUACAGUCCUCAAAUAACACUGGACCAACACAAACAGGAACAAAAACCAAGGUCGUUUCUUCCACCACUUUGAGCCUGCUGUCUAUAACCAAUUAAAGGCACACAAACUAUAACAUUAACGAGUUUUUGUGCUCUUUGCAUCUUUAAAAAGGUUAGGCAUUAAUAAUAAAUAAGUUGGACUUCAGGCUUUAUCGGCAGACGUCGUCCUUGACUAGCGCUUUUGAUUGUAAUCAUUCACCUGCCCUUCACUGAAACUUCAGAAAAAUCACCCAUGAUAUAAUAGAUGCGGUGCUAAAGGGCACUGCUUGCAAAUGGAUCAAAAAAAGGGGAGUAGCAACCAUUUUAACCUGGGGGACAUGUCACCCCUCCCAUUUUUGGAUAGAAUCUUUAUAUUGAGAAAGAAGAAAAAAAACGUACAUAUCAAAUCAAAGCCUUUGUUGCAAAAAUCGGUUAAAACAAUACACAAUUUCAACUUAUGUCAUAAAUGUUUCAAAAUGUGUGGAUGGUGCUUAAAUUACAUUAUUACAGAACAUAUUACUAUAUAUUUACUUCAGAUUUCAAAU